CCAAACUGUUGCCUCGGCGGGGUCACGCCCCGGGUGCGUAAAAGCCCCGGAACCAGGCGCCCGCCGGAGGAACCAACCAAACUCUUUCUGUAGUCCCCUCGCGGACGUAUUUCUUACAGCUCUGAGCAAAAAUUCAAAAUGAAUCAAAACUUUCAACAACGGAUCUCUUGGUUCUGGCAUCGAUGAAGAACGCAGCGAAAUGCGAUAAGUAAUGUGAAUUGCAGAAUUCAGUGAAUCAUCGAAUCUUUGAACGCACAUUGCGCCCGCCAGUAUUCUGGCGGGCAUGCCUGUCCGAGCGUCAUUUCAACCCUCGAACCCCUCCGGGGGAUCGGCGUUGGGGAUCGGGACCCCUCACCGGGUGCCGGCCCUGAAAUACAGUGGCGGUCUCGCCGCAGCCUCUCCUGCGCAGUAGUUUGCACAACUCGCACCGGGAGCGCGGCGCGUCCACGUCCGUAAAACACCCAACUUCUGAAAUGUUGACCUCGGAUCAGGUAGGAAUACCCGCUGAACUUAAGCAUAUCAAUAGCGGAGGAAAGC
rnacentral:rRNA from 1 species